UACGAGGGGGGCGAGCGUUGUUCGGAAUUAUUGGGCGUAAAGGGUGCGUAGGCGGCUUGUUAAGUCAGGGGUGAAAUCCUGGAGCUCAACUCCAGAACUGCCUUUGAUACUGGCGAGCUUGAGUUCGGGAGAGGUGAGUGGAACUGCGAGUGUAGAGGUGAAAUUCGUAGAUAUUCGCAAGAACACCAGUGGCGAAGGCGGCUCACUGGCCCGAUACUGACGCUGAGGUGCGAAAGCGUGGGGAGCAAACAGG
rnacentral:rRNA from 1 species